GUGCAUGCCUAUCAAACGUCUAUGCCUCGAAGAGGUUAAGAAAAAAAUUCCAUACGCAAAAAUUGCCGGUGCAUCGGUAAAGUUGAUCGGUACUAUUAUCUACACUAAUUUCGCUGUCAUUAGUCUGGUAACGUUUUCCUUUUUUCCGUCGCCACGAGAAAUCUCCGCGGUAACAAAUGAACAUAACCCCAUUUUCCACUCGCGCGAAAGAUGGUAGAUCAGCUCGUUACAAUAGCGAUCGCGGUGAAACGGCUGUUACAGUCGCGAACGACGCGCUGAUAAAAUAAACACGUGCCCGAAGGCGCUUCCGACAGAUAAUCGGGGAGCGAGAUCGCGUCGAAUCGCGGGGCUUGACGAGAGGCGAAGCGCGAGAGAGUCGGCCGGGCGCGUGUGUCCAUAGCCGGCGUUGUGCGAACGCGCGCGCGCGCGCGUGUAUAAAAUUUCGUUGCCAGUUCCCUGCGGGAGGCCAAUUAUACAUGUACGCCGGCUUAUUUCGCAACGGCGGCAAUGAAACUCUAAUGACGAACGCUGUCAACCGCACGCCCAUGUGCGGCCCUAAGAUCGUAAAGUUCGACCCGGCGAGUUUUCUGAUCCCGCGACAGGUUACGCCAAUAACGAACCGACGUAUAUGGAGUAGAGGCAGAACCUUUACGGGCCGCGCGCUAACGCUGAAAUUCUUAAUGCCACGUUGCGAAUUUCGAGAACGGCCGCGUGGUGCCCUUUACUGUGAUUCAUAUCGCCCCGUUAUGGGGCAAUACGGUGGCGUUGAAAAGAUUCAGGGGGACAGGAAAGAAAUUGAAAUUCGCACGAUCUGUGAGAACGACGAAAAGAAGGACAUAAGAACGAAACUGCCUACGGAGCGUGGACUCGUCCAGCUCCGUCGAUGUACGGCAUGCUGGGCGAACCCCUCGGGGUUCGUCCCCUCGGGCCAGGCUGAAGCCCCUCUUGCGGAGAUAAAAGACUUUAACACUACUCCGUAAGAGUGCCUGGAUUGGGUUGGACUCGAGGUGGUAGUGGGAGUAGCACGCUGUCUUUCCCUGAUACGAUAGCGAACGAAGGUAGAGCCCGAACAUCAGGCAAAAGUCGCAAGAGCGGCCGGUAUGGUCCAUCAAGGACUUAGGUACGGCCCGUCUCUCAGAGACCACAGUUAUGACGACACACACUAACUGUAUUAUUGCUCUAUAUGAUCCACAAUGUUAACAUUUAGCAGCAAUAGCCCACAAUAGUGUUCAAUAUUAAUAGUCUCAAUAGUAAUAAUCUGCGGUACUAAUAGUCUAUAGUUCUCUGUAUUAUUGCUCUAUAUGAUCCACAAUGUUAACACUUAGUAGUAGUAGUCCAUAAUAGUGUACAAUAUUAAUAGUCGUAGUAGUAAUAUUCUACAGUACUAAUAAUCUAUAGUUGUCUGUAUUAUUGCUCUCUUUGAUCCACAAUGUUAACACUUAGUAGUAAUAGUCCACAAUAGUGUACAAUAUUAAUAGUCUCAGUAGUAAUAAUCUGCGGUACUAAUACCUUAUAGUUGUCUGUACUAUUGCUCUAUAUGAUCCACAAUGUUAACACUUAGUAGUAAUAAUCCACAAUAGUGUACAAUAUUAAUAGUCUCAGUAGUAAUAUUCUACAGUACUAAUGUAACGUGCGGAGAAUCUUCCCACGAAUUUUUUAUAUCCCUUCCUGAAGGCAUACGCCAGGCUGGCGCCAGCCAGUCGGAGCCCAAACGCGACCAGGAAUCGGGUUAGUUUCGAGUCAUUCGUCGACGCGGAAACGUUAGUAAGAUCGAGUUUCAAUUCUCCUUCGAGCAAUCUAAUAGGUAAUUAGACAUCAAGUCAGAAACCCCCGCCGAUUCAGCGCGAAAAGCUGAGAGCGCGUUAGAGUCCGCGAACACUUAUUUACAGUUGUAAAACCCAACAUGUAAUAAAUUAGUUUUUACCAGUU